UUAGAUCGUACCCACACUUACUUGGAUAACUGUGGUAAUUCUAGAGCUAAUACAUGCAAACAGAGCUCCGACCGGAGACGGAAGGAGCGCUUUUAUUAGAUCAAAACCGAUCGGUGGUGGAUUUAUCCAUCAUCGUACAAUUUGGUGACUCUGAAUAACUUUGUGCUGAUCGCACGGUCUCGCACCGGCGACGCAUCUUUCAAAUGUCUGCCUUAUCAACUGUCGAUGGUAGGUUCUGCGCCUACCAUGGUUGUAACGGGUAACGGGGAAUCAGGGUUCGAUUCCGGAGAGGGAGCCUGAGAAACGGCUACCACAUCCAAGGAAGGCAGCAGGCGCGCAAAUUACCCACUCCCGGCACGGGGAGGUAGUGACGAAAAAUAACGAUACGGGACUCAUCCGAGGCCCCGUAAUCGGAAUGAGUACACUCUAAACCCUUUAACGAGGAUCAAUUGGAGGGCAAGUCUGGUGCCAGCAGCCGCGGUAAUUCCAGCUCCAAUAGCGUAUAUUAAAGUUGUUGCGGUUAAAAAGCUCGUAGUCGAAUCUGUGUCUCGCACCGCCGGUUCAUCGUUCGCGGUGUUAACUGGCGUGCCGUGGGACGUCCUGCCGGUGGGCUUAGCUCGCAAGAGCGGCCCAAUUCAAUCCUGCCGCGGUGCUCUUCAUUGAGUGUCGAGGUGGGCCGGCACGUUUACUUUGAACAAAUUAGAGUGCUUAAAGCAGGCUAAAAUUUCGCCUGAAUACUGUGUGCAUGGAAUAAUGGAAUAGGACCUCGGUUCUAUUUUGUUGGUUUUCGGAACCCCGAGGUAAUGAUUAAUAGGAACGGAUGGGGGCAUUC
rnacentral:rRNA from 1 species